rnacentral:lncRNA from 1 species
CAAGGAUCGAAGCUCUGGUUGAAAGAAAAAGGGUAUUAGGAAACCUUUCUCGUUCUCCUACCCUUUAGGUCAAUUGUCCACCACCGCUACUCCAUCGCCCCAUGUUCGAUCACGUGCUUACCGAUAGUAUUAUUGUAUGGCUUCAACCCUAAUUUCAUAUCUUCUAAAUAUGUGAGAACCCAACACCGUGAAAUCCCUUUGAAACCCAUAAACCCCUUUUAAAUCGUUGGUACCGCUCCACCACCCCUAUUUGUCAGUUGCAGCUCCACCGCCCACUCCGCCUCGCUAGGAUGGACUUAGUAAGACAAAGCUCAACAAAACCUACAUACGACGACUGAGGAAGACUGAUGAGGAAGAAGACUGAAACUCACUCUCUUUUACAAUAUUACAGGGAAUGAAAAAAACCGAGGUCUGCCAUUUGUUUCAUCUUUUGUGUUCAUUACAUGAAAAUUCAUGAUUUCUUAAUUCUUAUUAUUCUAUUAUUAUUUUUUAACUUUUGAACCCCAUUAUCCCACAUUGCCACGAUUUCUUUACUUCCCCUCUAAUCGACCCCUUAACCAUUGCACCGAUUACAUCAACAAUUCUUAUUUCAGAAAUUAGAUAUCGUAGUAGACGAAUCUGACAUUUCAAAGAUGCAUUUUUAUUUCUCAGUUGAUUCUUGUUUCUGAAAUCACCUUUGAUUUAUGAAAGUCUGAAGUUUGAGAAUUUGAUAACUGAAAGACAUAAAUCAUCGAACCGCCCACAUCGCCCACAUGGUUUCUUAAUCUAUCUAAGUUUAAAUCUUCUUGAUUGUUAAAUUCUGUUUCUUACUUUGAUGCAAAUUCCGUUCUUUUACAAUGUAACACAAUUUUGAUUUCGUAGACUGUUAAAUUUGAAUUUUUUUUUUCAAAUAUGAUGUCGUCAUCCCAUUAUUCUGAUUUCUGAUGCAUUCCGAUUUCUUAUUCUUAAACAUUUACACUGUCUCAUUCUUAAUUUUAGAUUUAUGAUGAAUACUAAAUUUCCUACACAUUUACUACAACUUCAAGCAGAUUACACUGUCUCAUCUUAUUUUUUACAAUGUUAAUGUCAUUGAUGUGAGUGUUUUUCUAUACCUGGACCAUUUUACCCCUACAUGGCGUUUAUUGUGUGUUGCUUUGUUGGUGCCUUGAGAAUUUCAAAUUUCAUAUAAACUUCAUAUUUUUGGUUAGUUUGCUUCUGGUUGUUGUUUGAUGUUGAGAUUGCUAUUAGGAGUGUGUUCAUAUAUCUUGACCAUUUUACCCUUGGAUUUUUCUGGUGCACUAAUAUAAUCUUUACUUUUGUUUGUAGAAGGUAAAGGCCAUACCUUGAUCCUAGUGUUUUUCGUGAAAGGAUUCUAAGUAGUAUCUUAUUUGAAGGUAAUUUCAACCCACAAACAUAUAACCUCCUUCACCAUUAUGGUUAUUUUAAAGUAUUUUUUUUACUCUUUUAGUAUGUUAUGGUAAAGAUAAACCAUUUUGAUGCAGGUCUUGACAGAUGCAUGCAAUACUUUGUGUUUCACUCUCGAGUGUUCAAAAAAGUAUAGUUACUUCCAUAAAAGAUAAGAAAUGUUGCUUGGCAGUUUGUUUGGAACUUUGCGUUAGUAUGCAUGCUAGUAACUACUCCGUAUGGUGUUUCAGCCCCAAAUUGACAAUAUUACCCUUAUUAUUUUUCUUAGUUUAAAAAGUUGGUGUUUAGAUAUAAUGAUAAUAUUUUAGUAUAUGUUUCCAUCCUUUUAAUUGUACUGUUUCUAGCACAAUGCUGCCAAUUCAUAUUUAAUAUAAUUUAUCUACUUAGUCAUUCAAUUUUUCAUUGUUUUUUUUAAUUGUGUGAUCAGAAGUCAAAAAGGAGCAUUUUAAAUUUAAAUGCUAUUAUUGGUAUUGUAACAUCCGGAUAUCCAUGUAUUAUAUUUAUCUUUUAUUUUUGAGUUUAAAGGGUGGACUCGACGAGUUGACGCAUAGACUCGUCGAGUA